ACGGCCCGCGGGCCACAUCCGGCCCACGGGACCGUUUAAUCCGGCCCGCCGACCCUGAACAAAUUGUAUUAUUAAACUUUUUUUUUUUUUGGUCAUUUUGCCUGCAAUGACUGCGUUUCCCCAGUAGAUGGCGAAGCGCUCGCCUGCGCAUUCACUACCGGAAGCCGUGUCAGAAAGCUUGGCGCACACUCACAAGUGCGUGUACGUACUCAGUAGUACGGACAUGGCGCACUCUCGCUCUAUUCGUAUCAGUCCCGAAUUUAGAUCGUGGGCUGUGACAUCUGCAUUCUUGUAAUUCGCGCGCUGAGCUUUCAGAUGCAGUUUUGCGCUAAAGCCGCCCACAAACCUUCCCCUGGAAUCCUUCCAUUAAAAUGAGUCGCCCAAGGAAAAGCAGUGCCGAGCGUUUAAAAGAGAGUGGCCAAUUUGGCUCGACGUACGCGACGUGACGUUCAGCCACAUCAACAUCAACCCAUCACAGAUCGAGAUACCCCUCACCGUGUUGCUGUUUUGAUGACUUUAUUUGGAUGUAUGCUUUCACCGAUUCUUCAAGAUGAUAUAUUUGGUCAGAAUGUUUGCCGUUUGAUGUGAUCUCAUAAGAUAAACAUCUUUCAUUAAUCUGACCUGCAGGCACUGAAGUGAUGGAGACUGUUAUUCAUAAUAACAGUGUCGUAUUUUAUGAGAAUCAGCAGUUUUUUAGUGAAUUAUUAUUAAAAAAAAUUUAAUGCUGUUAAUAAAUGCAUUUGUUUUCAAAAAACUUGUUUGGAAUAUCCAUGCUUUACUACCUACUAAAGGCCAAAAUCUUUUAUGCAAUGACCUUUACAGGUCGCUUAUAUGACUUCACACAAAGCCUACGUCCAUCUGCUCCUGGUUCGGCCCUCCGGUCCAAAUUUAGAACCCAGUCCGGCCCGCGAGUCAAAAAGUUUGCCCACCCCUGCCAUAGACCAUACUGUGUGAAUAACCAGUCCACCUCAUUUUAACAGUGACUAUAAAGUAAAUGUACUCAACCUUUAUGUUGAUGUCCAUGAUUGGGGCAUUGGGAUUUUGGAUUUUGUAGAAGCAAUCCUUUGAAAAUGUAAACACUUGCAGAUUUAUAGAAAUAAAGUAUUGUAUUUGGACA